UGAUAAAUAAAAAUUUGAUAUGAAUGUCUCAGUGAUGAUUAUACAAACGAUAUUGUAUUAAUUUUGUGAACAAUGAUCAUGAAUGAGUAAUUUAGCCUUGACAGAUUUGAGUUACUGCAGUAGUGUAACUUUAAAAGUACACUAAAAAUAGUAGAAAAUGAGUUAAGAGGUAGAAUAAAAUAUAGGAUUAAAGCUUAAUGAGUCUAUUUUCACAUGAAAGAAACAGGGGAAGAAAAAGAUUCCAUAUUGUAUGAUAUUUGAAUUCUUGUGAAACAUGGUCUGAAUGAAUUCGAAAUCCCCUGUUCUGACUUUAGAAAUUCACCAAAAAUUGUACAAAAUUUAUUAAGAAUCAUACCUUACAUGCAUGGAUUCCUUAUUGAGUCUAUUUUUAGAAGAAAUAAACGCCAUGGUCGUUGAAAUUUUGUAUAGGGAGAAAUUCAGUUUGUAGUGCACAGGGGUCAGAGUGGUCAUACCCUGAAACAGGGGAGACUUUAACUAAUAAAUUAUACUAAUUGGCCCAACCAAAAAUUCUAAAAAAAAUUAGUAAGUAGACAUAUGAGUUUAGUUUCAAGAUAAAUAGACGAGAACAUUAUUUGAGUCUUGUACUAUGAGAUAAUUGAACUUUAGUACAGAAGGGUCGGAACUGUCAGACAGUGAAUCAAGGGUAACUUUGACGAAUAAACUGUACUAUUUGGCUAAACCAAAAAAUUUAAAAAUUUUAUGGAAGAAAGAAAAAUAAGUCUAGUUUCAGGAAAAAUUAACGAAACUUAAUUCAGAGUUUCGUAGCUCCAGAUAUAAAUAAUUUAGUGACCGUUGCUCAGAAAGACAGCUUGUAGUGAACUUGAGAAUAUAUUGUAAACAUUAAUAAAACAAGUUAAUGAGUGCUUAUUGUUUUCAUAUGAACUUACUAAGCGAAAGCUUACCCCCCUCUUCUUUCCCAUGUUUUCUAAAGUUUCCAGGUUAUCUCGGGUUGGAGGCCGUUAGAGAUAUUAUCACACUGUCAAGCUAACACUAUUGGUGUAGUGAUUUCAAGUACUUUGGCCGUUAGAGUAUGUGAUAUGACUUUAACUAUAUGUGUUAGGCCUAUUUUUAUUAUGGGGUUGUAAAUCUAUUUUAAUUAUGCAUGCAUGUGCUAUGGUAUUAUGUGAUGAGUUUAUAAUGAUUAUAGUAUGAAUGUGAUAAAGAUGUGAGUAAAAUCUAUGAUAUCUAUUGCAUGUGAAAUUGCCAUAAUCAUGACAUGUUAAGAAUGUUUAAAUACCUAAUUUUGCCAUGUUGUAUGUUAUUGUAUAAGUAUGCGUGUAUCUAUUGUGAAUGUGACAAAAUGGCUUGGAAAAUAACCUUGUAUUUGCCCAGGUUUUUGGACGCAGGUUUGGGACAUGGGCGUGUACUCUAUACCCACACGGGCAUAUGAAGCCUUGAUGCAAGAGAUUUUCUAAGUUUUUUAUGAGUUCUCGAUUGGGUCUCGAACCACUUCAGAUGUAUGUUUUGGGCCACGUAAGCCCGUAUAUGGGACAAAUUGUGAAAAUAAAAGUUUUUAAUUAUUUGAGAUUUCAUGACCCUAUUUAGUAUUGAACUGUUAGUAAAAGUCAGGUAACACCUCGAACCCCGUCCCAACGUCGAAUGCAGGUGAAGGGUGUUACAUUCAUGGCUUUAAAGUUGAACAUGAGUAAGGCAUAUGACAAAGUGGAGUGGCCUUUUAUUAGAGAAAUGAUGGCUAGGACGGGUUUUGAAAACAGGCUCAUUAGUCUUAUCCUCCAUUGUGUCAAUUCUGUCCAGUACUCAAUUUUAAUUAAAAGGGAGGAAGGGUCCAAUUUCUGGGCUUCUAGGGGUUUGCGCCAAGGGGAUCCGUUGAGUCCCUAUUUAUUUCUUUUUUGUGAAGAAAGGCAUUCAGCAUUAAUGAGACUUGCAAAAUAGGAAGGCAAAUUUUUUUGUGCUAAGGUCUGUCGAUCAACUCCACCUAUCACCCAUCUCAUGUUCGUCGAUGAUUGUAUUCUAUUUGGAGAAACUUCAAGAAGGGGAAUUUUUCUGCUGAAAGAUAUUCUUGAGAAGUAUGAGGAUUGUUCGGGGCAGUGCGUAAACUUUGAAAAGUCAACUACGUUUUUCAGUUCAAAUGUGAAUGACCAAGAUAAGAAUUUGGUUUUUCAAAUUCUUAACGUGCGAUGCUCGACGAAUCCUGAGAGAUACCUUGGUCUUCCAAAUAUGGUGGGGCGAAAACAAAAGUUGGCUUUCCAAAAUCUGAAAGAUCGUUUAAAGCAAAGGGUUAAUAGUUGGAGCUUAAGACAUAUUUCACAAGGAGGCCGAGAGGUUUUUAUAAAGGCUGUUUUACAAGCUAUUCCUACUUACACAAUGGCUUGGUUCCUAUUGCCAAAAUCUUUGUGCAUGGAAUUGGAAAAUAUCAUGGGGGCAUUUUGGUGGAGGAAAAAUCAGGGAAAGCGAGGCAUGCAUUGGUGCGAUUGGAAGUCUUUGUGCGCACUAAAGGAAGACAGAGGUAUGGGUUUUCGUAAUUUAAAUUAUUUUAAUAUUGCUUUAUUGGCCAAACAGGGUUGGCGUUUAUUACGUAAUUCUAAUUCUUUACUAGCGCGUACUUUGAAAGCCAAAUAUUUUAAGGAGUCUGAUUUUUUAAACUCAAGGUUGGGAAAGUUACCUUCCUUUACCUGGCAGAGUAUUUCGGCGGCCAAGGGCCUACUUCUGAAGGGGUUGGGCUGGAGGAUUGGAAAUGGAAAACAUGUCUCCAUUUGGGAAGACGCAUGGAUCCCUGGGAAUGAGGAUUUCCGAAUUCAGCAUACAUCUGUUAAUAUGAGCUUAUUAAAAGUUGCUGAUUUAAUCGAGGCAAAUGAUAGAAAGUGGAAAUCUGAGCUGAUUUGUAAUACCUUUUCAGAGCAGGAAGCGGAGCGGAUUCUAUACAUUCCUCUGUCGUUGAACGAGAAUGAUGACCUUAUUAUCUGGCGGGGUGAGCCGACUGGGGAAUAUUCGGUACGGAGUGGCCAUAAACUUCUCUUACACAAUGAUCAGAAUGACUUACAGACAAAUUACAAACAAUUUUACAAAAAGCUAUGGAACUUAGAUCUACCCUCUAAAAUAAAGAUUACAGCUUGGCGUGUUUCACGCAAUUUUUUGCCUACUUUCAGUAACCUACAAUAUCGGAGACUGAGGGGAUCUGCUUCUUGUAGUAGGUGCCAAAACGGUGUGGAGUCGAGGGAACAUUUAUUCCAUGAAUGUCUUAAAGCAAAGGAAACAUGGGAGAAUUUGGGUAUCAGUUGGCCUAUUCCGGAAGAAAAUAAUAAUUUUAGGGACUGGUUACAGCUUAUUUUCCAAUCAAGGUCUACGGUUUUUUGCAGAGUUAUAGUAUGUACUCUAUGGGCGAUUUGGACAUCCAGAAAUAAAUUUAUCCACGAAGGUGAAGUUAAAACGGGUUCACAAAUUCCUGACUUUGUUAAAAAUUUUAUGUUGGAAUUGGAUGGGCUGAAAUCGUCAGUACCUGUAGAACAUCUCUGUGUGGGUGGUUGGGUUGCUCCGAUCGGAAUGAGGCUGAAAAUUAAUUUUGACGCUGCUUUCAACAAACAUAAGAAGGAAUCGUGCUCUGGUUUAGUUAUCCGGAAUAAUAAAGCGCAGAUUAUUGUUUCUAAAAUAGUUAUGAACUCGAACAUACCAUCAGCCUUUGCUGCUGAAGCGGUGGCGUGUCUUCAGGCGCUGCAACUUUGUUUAUAUCUUGGCUUGAGGGAGGUGGAUGUGUUUUCCUUUUUACAAACAGGGAUGUUAACAAAGUUGCGCAUCUCUUUGCAUCAGAAGGAAUAAGAAGGAGAGAGUCAACUUAUCUGGUAAAUCAGGUAUUUUCUGUCGCGGCGAAAAUGGUGGCUGAGGAUCAACGGAAGACAGAGAGCAUGAGAGAACUGAGGAGUCGGAGGGUAGGAGAUGAAGAAGAAAAUGUUUGUUUGAAUCUAUCUGUGGAAGAUCUUUCAGGAAGGAGGGUGUAAUCAAUGAAGUUGUUGGUUUUUGAAACGGUCAGUGGGUAAUUAAUUGUUGGCAUUUAAUUUCUGACCCUGCUUAUCACGCGUUUUGAUGUUUUUCAAGAGGGGUUUCUUUUGGUUGGUUUCCAGCUGGAGUAGAAGGCUUUAAAGCUCCCUUUUGUCAGUUUUACUGGUUAUAUGUUUUGGGCUAAUUUUUCUUUUAUUUUUGGACUUGCUGCUUUGUUCUUCCGUGGGUUUUUCUUUCUUAUUUUGUUAUCAUGUUUUUGCUUGGUGUUGAGCUGGGUUUGGAGUCUCUUGGGCUUUUCCUGAUUUUGGUAUGAGUGGUUUUUUUGGUUGUUUGGUCUUGUUCUGUUUUGUUUUUUUUAUGUAUUAGCCUUUGUUCAAUAUAACCAGUGAGUAUUUAUUUAAAAAAAUAAUAAUCUUAAAAUUUUGAGUUUUGUUUGUGGAAAUUAUGUGUAACUAAAUUAAUUUAAAUUGAAUUAAUUAUUCAAUUAAGUAUUUAUAAGAUUGAGCAUUUAACUCGAUUUAAUAACUAUAAUAAUUUAUUCCAAUGUUAACAUUCUAAUAUGAUUGUAAUUUAUAACUUAAAAA
rnacentral:lncRNA from 1 species